CGCGCAGGCGGCUUUAUAAGUCUGGAGUGAAAGUCCUCUUUUCAAGGGAGGAAUUGCUUUGGAAACUAUAGAGCUUGAGUGCAGGAGAGGUUAUCGGAAUUCCCGGUGUAGCGGUGAAAUGCGUAGAUAUCGGGAGGAACAUCGGUGGCGAAGGCGGGUAACUGGACUGCAACUGACGCUGAGGCGCGAAAGUGUGGGGAGCAAACA
rnacentral:rRNA from 1 species